CAGAAGCACCCGACAGGUUAGGCAGUCUCUGUGGUACCCUGGGGCCUUGGCCUCCAUGUGGCCUCUCCAGCACAUUUCCGUGGCUUCUGUGUCAGUGGUUUCUUUCCUCUGCUUGGCUCCCCAUGGUUUCAAGUCUACCAGGGCAGGUGUGGAAACUGCCCAUUUGGCCCUGAUCCUGAGUGACUGGUGGUUCUGGCCAGUAUCCAGGUAUCUCAGCAUUGGCAAGGCGGCCUUGAGGUGUGGAGGUCACCCGGAUUCUCACAGACUCCACUCCAGGAAUGGAUCAAUGAGAUUAUACUAAAUGGGCUCUGGCUUGAUUUCAGGACCACCCCAGGACAAUUCAGGGGAAGCUUUAAAGGAACCAGAAAGGGCCCAGGAGCACUCUUUGCCCAACUUUGCUGGGGGGCAGCACUUCUUUGAAUACCUUCUUGUGGUUUCUCUCAAAAAGAAGCGUUCAGAGGAUGAUUACGAGCCUAUAAUCACCUACCAAUUUCCCAAGCGGGAGAACCUGCUUCGGGGUCAGCAGGAGGAGGAGGAGCGGCUGCUCAAAGCUAUCCCCUUGUUCUGCUUCCCAGAUGGGAAUGAGUGGGCAUCACUCACCGAGUAUCCCAGGGAGACCUUCUCCUUCGUUCUGACCAAUGUGGAUGGGAGCAGAAAGAUUGGAUACUGCAGGCGCCUCUUGCCUGCCGGCCCUGGCCCUCGCCUUCCCAAAGUGUACUGCAUCAUCAGCUGCAUCGGCUGCUUCGGCUUGUUCUCCAAGAUCCUGGAUGAAGUGGAGAAGAGACAUCAGAUCUCCAUGGCUGUCAUCUACCCGUUCAUGCAGGGCCUCCGAGAGGCAGCCUUCCCU
rnacentral:sRNA from 1 species